rnacentral:lncRNA from 1 species
CAACAUGCUGACCUUCUCAACACAGUGUUCCAGACAGCCAUUACCAGUCAAUCAACACUGAUAUGAUGAAUACUAUCCUCCAGUCAGAAAGUGUUCAGGGGUAGGAUAGAGAUAAUUAGAACUCUUGAUCUCAUGGAAGAGAAUUAGCCUGGGGAGAGGUAUGAAGACACUUGAAAUCUAGUGUGGCUUUGACAUUUUUUGUGCCAUGUGGACCUGGGUCAGUUAAUCUCUUUGAACUUGGUUUCCUCUAAGAAACUCUGAUUCUUGGAGAUCUGAGGCAAGAGAGAUGCUUCCUCUUUGGGUGUUCAAGGAAGGCUUACCACAAGAGGUGAGAUUUCAGGGGGCUUUAAAGGAUGGGCAUAGUUUGCUUCAACAAAGAACUGUGUGUGUGCUGCAUGUGUGCAUGUUCUAAGAGUUUGAGGGAAUUGGUGACUAAGAGUGGGUAGAUUUCAGAAUCUACUUCCAUCUACCGUUUCCAAAAUAAAAAGCAAUUAUACCCCUGUAGUCUAUCUGUGGGGUGGGGAAACUACAGUUGGGGCCCAACUGCAAUCCCCUCCAGGAGGCAGUCAUAAUCAUGGAAAAAAUGAUGCUUUCCACUUUUUUUCUGGAUGUGGGGAGGGAUGUUGUGAGAGGUGGGGGCUGGUGGCAGCUGUCUGCUGCUCUUUCGUUUUGCAUUGUAAAUUCUCUGUCCCUCGACAAAGGUUCCAUUUAUCUUGUCUCCCCAGCAGGGCCAGGUCACCCCUAAGCCCACGAGGGUAGAAGAGCUAUUUCCCAUGCAGGCCUGUGACCCAUAGCUAUGCCCUUGGAGGGGCUGUCUUCCAAAAUGAAACCAGGUUAGAGCCAUUUAUAGAUUCAAGACUUGACAUUCUGACUCCCCUUUCUUGUUUACUUUUCUCAUUCUGUCUGUAACUUAACUGACCAGUCAGCAAAAUGAUUCCAAAUCCAUAGUCACACUGCUCGGGUUCACAUUCUGGCUCUGCCACUUCUACACUUUGUGACCUUAGGCAAGUGACUUGACCUCUCUGAGCCUUAGUUUCCUCACCAAUAAAUAUGGGAAUAAAAAUAGUACCUAUUUCAUAGAGAGGUGUGGACUCAUUGAAAAAACCUCGGUAAACACAGAGGAACUUAGCAGUGGGAGGACUAAAAGGUAAGCAUCAUGGAAGGGGUAGAGAGGAGGGUAUGAUGUUCCAACUGUGUGCACAAAACUGUUAUGCCCAAAUUCCAGUUUUUUUGGAAUAAAGGCCAAUUUCCCUAGAUAUGGACUCUGAGAUGUUAGGGGUGACUUGCCAGAUUAUUUCUGCCCACAGCAAGGGUAGAAGCUGUUGAGUGGAGACUCUGCAGCUCUAUGAGGUGCCUCACAGAACAGAGACAACAAGCUCAAGGGAAACUCAGUGCUUCAGACUGUGGCCCUUAGAGCCUAUCACACCUAAGCUGGAGUGUGGGUUUUGCCAUUUAUCACACCAUCCUCUUGUGUAAGGGACAUAACAUCUCUGAGCCUUCCUUUCCUCAUCUGUAAGAUGGAGCUAAUUAUAACAUCCACCUCAUGGAAUGCAUGUAAAGUGUUCUGUGUUGUGCUUGAUACAACCUUCCAUAUGUAUCUCCUAUAAAGAUUGGCUCAAAAAAUAACUAAGUUCAUCAUCAGACUUGAGGUGGCCAUAAAUCUUUGGAGGGCUGGAACCAUACUUUAUCUUAGUAUCUGCAGUGCCUGGCACAUAUGGGAAUUAGUUUGGUUCCAAAGAGCAGAGAUCCAUUCAAAGUAGCUGAGAUAAAAAUGAAGGAUUUUAGGUGAGAUCAGGGAAAUGUUUUAAAAUUCAGUGGCAAGAAUUAUAACUGGACUUCAUUACAACUAAAGAUUUGUGAUGACAUCUUGGACCCUUCCCCAUGCACACGCCUCUUGGUCUUCCCUCAAACUUUCUCUGAGUUUCCUCUUUCCCUCUAUGAACAGAUGCCACCUCUCCUCUUGCAUCUGGUCCUUAGCAACCUCCCCACAUGCCAGCUCCUCUCUCUUAGCCUGCACCACAGGUGGCAUCAUAGACUGAUCAAGAGCCCAGGCUUGGAAUCAUGUUGCCUGGGUUAAAAUCUUGGCUUUGCUGCUCACUGACUGUACAACCGUAACUCCAUCACUUUCCUCAUUCACAAAUGGAGCCUGAUAAUAACACCUGCCUCAUAGCAUGUUGAGACGUAAAUGACUUAAUAUGUGAAAUACUUAUAAUACCUGGGUUAGGGCAGUGACAUCCUAACUGGUCUACCUCUCCCUUUGCUCUCCUUCAGAGUAUUCAGUGGUAUGUGAGUUCAUGUUCCUCCUCCUCUCUAAACUCCUCUAUGGCUCCCGUCUCUCCAAGUGAAAACCCGAGCCCUUAUAGUGGCCUGCAGGACCCUACACCAUCGGGCUCCUGGCUUCCUCUCAUAAGAUCUCCUGGGAUUCUUCACUUGGUCUCUCUGCUCCACCCAUAUUAGCCUCUUGCUGCCCCACAAACACAGGCUAGGUCUGUCCCUACCUCAGGAACUUUGCACUUGCUGUUUCCUCUGCCUAGAUCAAACAUCCCUUAGAUACCAGGCUUGCUUCCUUCAAGGUGAUGCUCAAACAUCACCUUCUCAGUGGGACCUUCCAUGACCACUCAUUGUAUUUAAAGUAGAAACCUCUUACCCGGUACUCCUUAUUUACCUGCCCAGAUUGUUAUUACGUUUAUUGCCAGAAUGUCACAAAGGCAGGGUUUUCGUGUGUCUUGCUCACUACUGUCUCCCCAGCGCCUGACACUGUCAACUCAAUAUUUUUUGACUGAAUAAAUAAAUGUUGGUGCAUACUAUAAUUGCUAACAAACUUUCUGAGACUUUUGAUCUUUUUAUUUUCCUCUCACGGAUGUCUCUUACAGAUUUCAACCUGCCACUGUUUUGAGGCUUCUUUCUUCCUUCCAGCAUAUUCCUACUGGGUGUUUGUUUUAGAGGUAAACAUUGUCCUUGUGGUAUAAUUACGAAGUUGCUCUAGAAAAAUAGUUUCAUCUCCCUUUGAAGUGAAUCUUCUUCUUCUUUAAAAGGCAUCAGAACCCCCUACUGAAUUCUUUACCGUAGCAAAAUUAGUUUCCUAAAGCUGAUGUGGAAGCUAAUUUGUGUAUUGCUGUCAGUUGGAAGGCUUUGAAAUUAAUUGUCUUAGCUAACCUUGUUGAGAUCUAACCAUGUUAUGUUUAGUGCAUUAUCUCCUCAUUGGGUCUGGUGGGAUAAGUCCUGCUUUAUUCUCUCUUGAGCAGAGAAUGUAACUUUUAUUGGUUUCCAAAUUAAGAUGGAGAGCUAAAUGGUUGUGGAAAAAACUCUCAGAUUGGAAGGCAGAUUUUAGAAUUUCGAUUCUAAAAAUACCCCAGAAGUAGACUGACCUAGUGGCUUAGGGUCAGGCUAUCCUUUCUGAACCUUUUGGAGAAGUACAUCCUAAAAUAAUUUAAAAUUAUGGAAGUCCCUGCUGUGGCACAGUGGAUUAAAAAUCUGACUGUAGCAGCUUGGGUUGCUGCAGAGGUGUGGGUUUGAUCCCCAGCCUGUCGAGGUGGGUUAAAGGGUCUGUGUUGUCACAGCUGUGGCAUAGGUCACAGCUGCAGCUCUGAUUCAGUCUCUGGCCCAGGAGCUUCCAUGUGCCAUAGGCACGGCCAUAAAAAAAAUAAUAACAAUAAAAAUUUUAAGGGAGUUCCCAUUAUGGUGCAGCAGAAACAAAACUGACUAGUAUCCAUGAGGGAUGCAGUUUUGAUACCUGGCUUCAAUCAGUGGGUCGAGGAUCUGGCAUUGCCAUGAACUAUGGAGUAGGUCACAGAGGAGGCUUGGAGCUUGUUUUUCUGUGGCUGUGGUGUAGGCCAGCAGAUAUAGCUCCGAUUUGACCCCUAGCCUGGGAACUUCCGUAUGCCUUGGGUGCAGCCCUAGGAAAAAAAACAAAAAACAAAAAGCAAAAAAAUUUUUAAAGAAAUAAAAUAAAAUUACACAAGUAAUAGUGAAGUACAUUUUUAUAAAAAUUUAAAAUUUAUGAGCAAAGCUAACAUCCCUUUUGACCAUAAAUCUCCCACAUACCCAAAUUAUCUUAUUUGUUAGAUGUUUAUAUUUCUAGACAGUUUUCUAUGCAUCUCUGUAUGAUUUUAUAGUAUUGUUACAUGAAUAUCUUUUACCUAAGUGUACAACACUGUGAUAUUGUAAUCAUAACUGGCUUAUUCCAGUUAUGGGUCUUUAAGUUCUUUCCAUGUCAGUACGUACAUAUGUUUUAUACUUUUGAAUGGCUUCAUGGUACUUCUAUUAGUCAGCUCAGGCUGCACAACCAAAUGCCAUAGACUUGGUGGCUUAAACAAUAGACAUUUAUUUCUCACAGUUCUGGAGGCUGGGAAGUCCAAGUUCAAAGUGCCAGAUGAUUUGAUUCCUGAUGAAGCCCUCUUCCGGCUCACAGCUGGCCUUCUUCUCUCUGCAUCCUCACAUGGCAUAGAGGGUACAAGUUCUGGGUCUCUUUCCUAGAGUCCCCACCCUCAUGUCCUCAUUUAAACCUAAGUACUUCCCAAAUGCCCCAAUACCAUCACACUGGGGGCUAGGGACCUAGCAUAUUCAUUCUGGUGGGGGAAGGCAACAGACGUUCAGUCCACAGCGUAUUCUCUAAUACAUUGCUUCCUUAGCCAUUUUCUUGUUGAUGAAAGUUUAGUCUGUUUUCAAUUUUUCCCUAGUACAAACCAUGCUGUAAUGAACACCCUUGUUCAGACCUCCUCUCUCAGAUGGACAGUGAGAAGGAAUGGUUGUAUUGUAGUUCUGUCAUUCUUUUUUUAAAAAUAAGAAAAAAAGUUUUUAGCCACGCCUGCAGCAUGUAAAUUCUCAGCCAGGGAAUCAAACCCACACCAGUGACAACCCUGGAUCCUUAACCCACUGAGCCACCAGGGAAGUCUAUAGUAUUGUUUUUUUACAGCCACACCAGUGGCAUAUGGAAGUUCCUGGGAUAGGAGUACAUUCUUUUUAGUGUCUUGGCUUGUUAUCAGAUAUUAUUUAGAUUCUUUUGAUUUCAGAGAGAGUUGUGUUCAUCCUUAUGGAGGCUGGCAAACCAGUUUUAUUUCUGUUUAAAGGAUGUAGGUAAAAGGUAUAGAUGGUUACAAAGUAAAAGGUAGAAAAUGAUAUGAGGUUAAAAUCCUCCCUCCCACAUCUGUUCCCUUGCUCUCUUGCCAGAGAGUCAUGCCCGCAUUCCAAACUCUACAUUCUCUUGUGUAUGAAAGCAAAUUAGCUUAAACAUCAGUGGUGCCAUACUGAACAUAGUUCUGACACCUGUCUUUUAAAUUUUUUUCUUUUUUUAAAAAAAGUUUUUUUAGGAGUUCUCAUCAUGGCUCAGUGGAAAUGAAUCUGACUGGUAUCCAUGAGGACGCAGGUUCAAUCCCUGGCCUUGCUCAGUGGGUUAAGGAUCCAGUGUUGCUGUGAGCUGAGGUGUAGGUUGCAGAUGCAGCUCAGAUCCUACAUUGCUGUGACUGUGGCAUAGGCUAGCAGCUGUAGCUCCAAUUCAGCCCCCUAGCUUGGGAACCUCCAUAUGCCGUGGAUG